rnacentral:rRNA from 1 species
CGCAGCCAUGCCGCGUGCAGGAAGAAGGCGCUACGCGUUGUAAACUGCUUUUAAUCGGGAAGAAACCCCGGGACGUGUCCCGGGUUGACGGUACCGUUGGAAUAAGCACCGGCUAACUUCGUGCCAGCAGCCGCGGUAAUACGAAGGGUGCAAGCGUUAUCCGGAUUCAUUGGGUUUAAAGGGUGCGUAGGCGGAACAAUAAGUCAGCGGUGAAAGCCUGCWGCUUAACUGUAGAAUUGCCGUUGAUACUGUUGUUGUUGAGUACGUUUGACGUGGGCGGAAUGUGCCGUGUAGCGGUGAAAUGCUUAGAUAUGGCACAGAACACCGAUAGUGAAGACAGCUCACGAAGACGAAACUGACGGUGAGGCACGAAAGCGUGGGGAGCGAACAGGAUUAGAUACCCUGGUAGUCCACGCCGUAAACGAUGAUCACUCGUGAUCGGCGA